AUGGGUCCGGAUUGUGGUUUUGUGGUGUGGUUGUGUUGUUACAACCAGGAGGCAAGGCUUUUGCAUUGUGUUGUCAAGUUUUGUAUUUCUGGGGUGUUUAGUUGUGUUGUUAUAGUCACGAUGUGUUGUUGUGAGUUUUGUGGGUCCGGAUUGUGGUUUUGUGGUGUGGUUAUAUUGUUACAACCGGGAGGAAUUGUUGUGAGUUUUGUGGGUCCAGUGUGGUUUUGUGGUGUGAUUGUGUUGUUACAACCGGGAGGCAAGGGUUUUGCGUUGUGUUGCCAAGUUUUGUAUUUCUAGGGCGUUUAGUUGUGCUGUUAUAGUCAUGAUGUGUUAUUGUGAGUUUUGUGGGUCCGGAUUGUGGUUUUGUGGUGUGGUUGUGUUGUUGUAACCAGGAGGCAAGGCUUUUGCAUUGUGUUGCCAAGUUUCGUAUUUCUGGGAUGUUUAGUUUUGUUGUUAUAGUCACUGCGCCCACAACUUUAUCCUUUUAUAUAUAUAGAUUAUUUAUUUUCUUUAUUAGCAAUUUAAGUUUCCAAAUUAUUUCAUCUAUUAUAAUAUCCACUAUGUAAACUAAAUGUCACCCAUCAAUUCAGUUUCAAGAGAAUGGCUCACAGAACAAUUCAGUACAGCAAUUCAAAUGGCUUGUUAUAGCUCAUUAUGACUAAAAUAUUCAUACCCUUCCCCUCUGACACACACACUGUAAAAAUAUAAUUUUAUAUUCAGUAGACAAAAAGUAGCUUCAUUAAAAAUUGUUCACUAGUAGGUCUGCAGCAAACUUCCUGGGGAAAUGUCAAGAUAAGGCAGCAAAGCUUACUGCAGACUAAAACCCAAACAUAGUUAGAAGUAAGCUAGGUGGUUUACUACAUGUGUGUGUGCCUUCAAAAUGCCUAGCAACUUAUGGUGAGCUCAUGAAUUCCAUAGGGUUUUCUUAGACAAGGGAUAUUCAGAUAUGGUUUUCCAGUUCCUUCCUCUAAAAUAUAAACUACAGUACUGUUAUUCAUUGGUGGCAUCCCAUCCAAGUACCAACCAGGGCUAAUUCUGUUUAGCUUCCAAGAUCAAAUAAAAUAUUAUGCCUGUAGGGUUUAGUGUUUAUUACCCACUAAAAUGAAAAUGUGUGCCAGGUACACUAUAAAUAAAUAUUCAUAGCUGGGAUUUCAAUUCACAGAAUGGAUAUCUUGAAUACAGGUGGAACUGUAUUGUAAAGGAAUGGGCUCCCCUACCCCUGUGAUAUGUAUUUAUGAUAUUCCCUCUUUUCUUUAUCUAUUUGAAAAAAAUCUUAAUUACACCUUCACAACAUCAUUUUUGGUCAUUCCAAGAGCACCAAUAUUGAAAUUGAAAACAUGGCUCUUCCGCUGUGCCUUUGAUGAGUAAUUUCUGUUAUUUCUGUGUUACUCCUACCCCGAACAUCUAUCCUCUAGAUUACCCCACUUCCAUAUGUCCCUGCCCGCAGUGGAGUACCCCUAUGUCCCUCUCACUCCAGGUUUUAUCUUUGUGUUCACGUGGCCUGCCCUUGUUUUACUGUUUUUUUGAUUUCUUGAUGAAAUGCCUAUUAUUAUUUAUUGUAUUUUUAAUGGUGCUAUGUUAUGUUGUUUUAUAUUUGCUAUAUUGUAUUGCUCUGGGCAUGGCCCCAUGUUAGCCGCCCCGAGUCCCCGUUGGGGAGAUGGUGGCGGGGUAUAAAUAAAGUUUUUUUUUAUUAUUAUUAUUAUUAUUAUUAUUAUUAUUAUUAUUAUUAUUAUUAUUAUAUGGUCUGAGGUGGGGGUACACACACAUACACCAAGUUGUCUAUCUCUGCUAUAAGGGAUCUUCUGGCUAUGGCUACAAGUUCUCCUGAAAAAACAGGUGUGUAACUUUUCUCCUUGAUCUACAAUUCUCACUAUAGGCCCAAGGUGCUUUUAGUCCUGGUGAGUCAUACACUUCUCUUGAUGGGGAAAUCCAUGUUUUAAUCAUCUUCAGAUUAGAUUAUUGUGAUGUGUUUUUCUUAGGGCUGCCUUUGGAAGGAGUUUGGAAGUUUCAACAAGCACAGAAUUUGACAGUGAAAAUUGUUGUUGAUCUAGAUGGAGCUAUGUCACAUCAAUUAUACAUAUACAGAAGAGAGAACUUCUCGGUGGUGGUAUAUCCACUUCAGGAUGAACUCCCAAUGGAGGUACAUCUGUUGUCAAUGCUGUGCUCCUUUCAACACCAGAUAGAAAAGUUUUUAUUUUCCUGCACAUUUAUAACGAUUAUAUUCUCAGCUCACUCUAAGUUCUCCAGUGUGGCUCUAUGGUCAAAUUCCAGCUGAGGUUUCCGGUAGAGUUGCACUAGAAGACCUAGAGAUUCCUACAGAAGUGUUAUCUUUGAUUUUAAAAAAAUUGUGGAUUUAUUCACUUUUUUUCCACUUUGCAGGCAUCCUGUGCCUCUAGUCUCAGAGAAUGUGGUCAGCCAGACUUAGUUUUAUUUCUAGUUUAUUGUUUUAUAUUUUACCAUUGCAUGCUGUGAUUUUUUAAAGCAUUCCUUUCUGAAAUCCAGUUUUUGGAUUGAAAGCUCAGUUCAUAAAUUUGUAAAAUAAAUGAAUAACAUUUUAUACAGUACAAUAGCUGCACUUCAACCAAUGCUUUAAAUUCCCACACAACAUUCACUGUGGUAGAAUGACACUUUAGUCUAUGAGGUAUUGUGCUAUGUUGCUCCUGAUGCCUUGGGCUCAGUUCAAAUGAACUACAAUGCAUCUAUGAAUUCAGGUAUCAAUGAGUUGGUUCAUUCUUUCAGUAUACUUCAGUGCUGUAACCCCAAUACUAUAGAGUGAUUGUGUGGGGCAAAUAAUAGUUUAAACUGCUGGGCUUUACAAAACCAUCUGUAUUCAUUCAUACCUAUAACUGAAUGAAUAUGUAACAUGCAUUAUGUUUGCUGAUUAUACAGUUCAUGGUGGUUUCUAUGAUGUAUUGGAUUUUAUUUAUUGAAAGUAAUCAAUGGCCUCUAUUUAACACACAUUUUUAAUUGCCUUUGUAUUGGAUGAAUCUAGAUUGAUUGGAUAUAGUAUUUUUUCUCAGGAGUCUUAAGGCAUCCUAACAAAGGAUGUUUUUCAGACUUUCUACAGAAAAUUCAGAAGACGGGAAUUCAAUUUGAAUACCUUUGCUCAGAAUAUAAUAAUGCUACUCUGAAAUGCUGGCAAAAAAUUCAGUGUUCUUCUAUGGCUAAGAUUCACAGACAAACAAAUACACCUUAGACACAUUUUAUUUUGGUCAAGCUUAAUUGCAUAAGGCUUUUGAUUUCUCAGCUGUAUCAGAAUUCUUGCAAUAUUUUAGGUAUUUUCUCAAACCAUUUCCAAAGUUGUCAUAUUUUAAUUCUUUCAUGCCAGUUCUUUCUUCUUACUAAUAAUUUCAGACUAAGAUCUUGCACCAAGAGACACAUACUUACUCUGUACAUUAUUAUCAAACAACAUCAGAGCCCUCUCAAGGGGCUCAGAAGUUUCCUGUAGGUUAUGUUAUUAUAGUGUAUCCACUAGCAUCACAUGCUGUUGUCCUUGCCUUCCUCCAAUAUGGAAAUGGAUGUUGUUGGAGAGCUGCCACACUGAACAAAGCAGGUGCAGGGAUUUUGGUUGUUCUGACCACCACAGUGGUCAAAAAAGGAGUAAAUUGGAAUUAUGCUAGUUGUUAUUGUCCUCCAUGGAAUGACCCAUUCCCAUUUUUGAACUUUCAUUCCACAGUAUAUUUCUGUCCUAUUGUGAUUCAAAGGAAGAAAAGCUCUUGGAGAUUUGCAGACUCUUUGACUUUCCUAAAUAAUUAUUAUACCCAUUUCCAUUGACAUUGUAAUCAGUGGAAAGACUGAGCUGUUGGAUUCAACUGAAUUUUGGUAGAAAAUUCUCAGACAGAAUACUGUUCUUUGUUUGGAAUAGAACAUUUUCAGGGCAAAUUUGUGUGAUGGGAUUUUAAAAAGCAUUUUAUAAAACAAAACAAAAUAUAUUUCUCAACCAUGUGGUAGUGUGGAGGAGGUUGGGGAAAUUCACAUUGACUGCAUCUAGGAGACGACCUUUUCUUUGAUUCCUAAAAUGUUGAUUAGGAAAGAUAAAUUUAGUGUCACAAUGCAGUUUCAAAGAACUGAAACCUAGUACAGGUUUAUUUCAUGCCAUCAGUCACUAGUUGUGCUGUAAACUUAUUUCCUUACUUCUCCUGAAAGUUGUUGAGGCCUGGGAAUAUGUAGUUCCAUCUAUCCAGUCACCCAUGCAGGUGCUUUUCCUGCACGGGAGGGAAUUGGACUAAAUGGUCCAUGUAGUCUCUUCCCAUUAUAUGAUUCUAUUAUGCUUGCCCAUCUUGAUUCAAUGCAGCCAAUAUUUCCCAGCUGGUCUUAGGAAUUGAUCCUUGAAAUGCUUUCCUGAAGGAUGGCCAAAUUGGAGAUGCUUCAACUGCUCCU
rnacentral:lncRNA from 1 species